GACGAACGCUGGCGGCGCGCCUAACACAUGCAAGUCGAACGGAGUCAAGAGGAGCUUGCUUUUCUUGACUUAGUGGCGAACGGGUGAGUAACGCGUGAGUAACCUGCCCUGGAGUGGGGGACAACAGUUGGAAACGACUGCUAAUACCGCAUAAGCCCACGGAUCUGCAUGGAUCUGCGGGAAAAGGAUUUAUUCGCUCUAGGAUGGACUCGCGUCCAAUUAGCUAGUUGGUGAGGUAACGGCCCACCAAGGCGACGAUUGGUAGCCGGACUGAGAGGUUGAACGGCCACAUUGGGACUGAGACACGGCCCAGACUCCUACGGGAGGCAGCAGUGGGGGAUAUUGCACAAUGGGGGAAACCCUGAUGCAGCGACGCCGCGUGGAGGAAGAAGGUUUUCGGAUUGUAAACUCCUGUCGUUAGGGACGAUAAUGACGGUACCUAACAAGAAAGCACCUGCUAACUACGUG
rnacentral:rRNA from 1 species